UAUUAUGAUGGCUGUCUUUGGACUGC
rnacentral:piRNA from 1 species